UCGAGCACCCUCAAUGUUCCACGAGCAGCCGGAAGAACUGCCUAUGAACGCACACUUUGGAUGCGACACAACUAUGCCGGUUAGGCAAAUCUUAAUUACGGUGCACAUCAAUUAGGUAUUACUGCGAUACUGGAGCUUUUUUUAUGAAUGGAGUGAAUUACAUUCUUUAAGAAAAAGCGUAUAAUUUGCUCGCUUAAUUAGGUUACUCAGAGAGAAGGACAUCAUUGAACAAUCAGUGAUUGCUUAUAAAGGCAGAAAAACGAAAUUAAUGAAUAGAGACAAUUCGUUACAGCAUACCUACAUCUUUUAUUUAAGCCAAUCAGUUGUUGGGGUGGUAUACAGAAGAGAGCCC